rnacentral:rRNA from 1 species
UGGUGGAGUGAUUUGUCUGGUUGAUUCCGAUAACGAACGAGAUCUUAGCUCCCUAACUAGAGUGCCCCAGCUGAGAGGGUGCACUAUACUUAGAGGGAGUUCAUGCUCAUAGUGUGAGGAAAAAUGAGGCAAUAACA